AUUGAACGCUGGCGGCAGGCCUAACACAUGCAAGUCGAACGAGUGGCGGACGGGUGAGUAAUGUAUGGGAAUCUGCCUGAUGGAGGGGGAUAACUACUGGAAACGGUAGCUAAUACCGCAUACUAUCGGAUGUACCCAGAUGGGAUUAGCUAGUAGGUGGGGUAAAGGCUCACCUAGGCGACGAUCCCUAGCUGGUCUGAGAGGAUGACCAGCCACACGGGGACUGAGACACGGCCCAGACUCCGACGGGAGGCAGCAGUGGGGAAUAUUGCACAAUGGGCGCAAGCCUGAUGCAGCCAUGCCGCGUGUAUGAAGAAGGCCUUCGGGUUGUAAAGUACUUUCAGCGGGGAGGCGUUACCCGCAGAAGAAGCACCGGCUAACUCCGUGCCAGCAGCCGCGGUAAUAC
rnacentral:rRNA from 1 species